rnacentral:rRNA from 1 species
UACGUAGGUGGCAAGCGUUGUCCGGAUUUAUUGGGUUUAAAGGGUGCGUAGGCGGCUUAUUAAGUCAGUGGUGAAAUACUCUAGCUCAACUAGAGGGGUGCCAUUGAUACUGAUGAGCUUGAGUACAGAUGAGGUAGGCGGAAUUGACGGUGUAGCGGUGAAAUGCGUAGAUAUCGGGAGGAACACCUGAGGCGAAGGCGGGCUACUGGGCCGAUACUGACGCUGAGGCGCGAAAGCCAGGGGAGCAAACGGG